GAUGAACGCUGGCGGCGUGCUUAACACAUGCAAGUCGAACGGAAAGGCCCAAGCUUGCUUGGGUACUCGAGUGGCGAACGGGUGAGUAACACGUGGGUGAUCUGCCCUGCACUUCGGGAUAAGCCUGGGAAACUGGGUCUAAUACCGGCUAGGACCACAUUUUGGAUGGUGUGGUGGAAAGUUUUUCGGUGUGGGAUGAGCUCGCGGCCUAUCAGCUUGUUGGUGGGGUAAUGGCCUACCAAGGCGUCGACGGGUAGCCGGCCGGAGAGGGUGUACGGGCACAUUGGGACUGAGAUACGGCCCAGACUCCUACGGGAGGCGGCAGUGGGGAAUAUUGCACAAUGGGCGCAAGCCUGAUGCAGCGACGCCGCGUGGGGGAUGACGGCCUUCGGGUUGUAAACUCCUUUCGCUAGGGACGAAGCGUUUUUGUGACGGUACCUGGAGAAGAAGCACCGGCUAACUACGUG
rnacentral:rRNA from 1 species